UGUUCUCUGGCUUAGUUGGUUAAAGCGCCGGUCUAGUAAAUACGGAGUGGGUUCGAAUCCCACCAGAACGC
rnacentral:tRNA from 1 species